AUGCCAAAUUGCCCUUCAUAAUGCCCACAUUAUACCCUCAUGAUCAAUGUAUAGACUGCUAUCAUCCUAUUUUGUAAAAAAUUUACUUUUUGGUUUAUUCAUCCACCUCCACGCUCACACUCUCUGCAGCCCCAAACUGUUCCACUUCUGAAAUGCAAAAUUCAAAUGUGCACCUCUGUCCAUUAACUUACAUCCAACUACUCCCAUUACACCCCUACGUCUUCUCCUAGCAGUCAGCUGCUGCAUUCCCUUCGUCUUCCCAUCACACCUAGCUGUGUGAUCUGUCACUUCAUCCUGGAUCAGGCCAACCAUUGCCACCUCCAAGCCAACACUCUAGCUACCAUGUGCUCCUAGAGAGAAAUCACUCCACCUGGGGUGCUCCAAAUUUAAAUGCCCCAACCUCACCUGGGCCCUCCGCCCUGCUCUCAAUGCUCCCUUCCCCGGAAGAGUUCUCAAAGCUUUCCAUUCUGGGAAUUCCCUCCCCACCAACGGAUGGCCACCCUUCCACCUUCCUCAGGGAAAUGACAAUCCCGUUUUUCUUCCUUCUCCUCCACACUUCCUCUCUGCCUUCUCCUUUCCCUUGGCAUUGAGGCCUCUUCUAGCCUUUUUCAUCAAAACGCCUCUCCCUUGACUCUGCUCUGCCUCUUCCUGUCACUCUCUGCUCAUGGUCUCACUUCCUGUGAGAGAAUCCGCACCCUGAUUAUUCCACCCCCAUCUCUCAUUUAGUCUCCAAACCUCUGAAAUCUGACUUCAACCAUCACAAUUAAAAUUGCUCUCUCAUGCACCCAGUAAGCUGACAAUAAUUACUAUCAAUCAGCCUCCUGCCACUUGACCUCGUUGCAGCAUUGGACACUUUUCCAUCCUCCUUCAUGAAACGGCCUUUUGUUCCUUCAGCUUCUGGCGCCUCAUCUCUUGCCACUCACCAUGUCCUGUCUGUGCUGCAGCCGUAUUCAGCUCCUGGCACUUCCUCAGAUGGUGAAUGGAGUGCUGACUCCUCAACUCUCCAAACGAUUAGUCCAAACCAAACAUGGUGAUCUCACUCCCCUAGCCAGCAAUGUGACCCAAGCCUGGUCAAUAAGACAUGAAGAGAAGUUGUCUGCUUCAGUGAGUGAAGGACACCAACAGAUACAACAGGUGGUAAAGAAGACAAAAAUUUAA
rnacentral:lncRNA from 1 species